rnacentral:rRNA from 1 species
GAUGAACGCUGGCGGCGUGCCUAACACAUGCAAGUCGAGCGAAGCACCUUACUUGAUUUCUUCGGGAUGAAAGUAUUGUGACUGAGCGGCGGACGGGUGAGUAACGCGUGGAUAACCUGCCUCAUACAGGGGGAUAACAGUUAGAAAUGACUGCUAAUACCGCAUAAGACCACAGCACCGCAUGGUGCAGGGGUAAAAACUCCGGUGGUAUGAGAUGGAUCCGCGUCUGAUUAGCUAGUUGGUAAGGUAACGGCUUACCAAGGCAACGAUCAGUAGCCGGACUGAGAGGUUGGCCGGCCACAUUGGGACUGAGACACGGCCCAG